UACGGAGGGAGCUAGCGUUGUUCGGAAUUACUGGGCGUAAAGCGCACGUAGGCGGCUUUGUAAGUUAGAGGUGAAAGCCCGGGGCUCAACUCCGGAACUGCCUUUAAGACUGCAUCGCUUGAAUCCAGGAGAGGUGAGUGGAAUUCCGAGUGUAGAGGUGAAAUUCGUAGAUAUUCGGAAGAACACCAGUGGCGAAGGCGGCUCACUGGACACGAUUGACGCUGAGGUGGCGAAAGCGUGGGGAGCAAACAGG
rnacentral:rRNA from 1 species